AAUCAAAAUAGGUGUCGGAUUGGGAUUUCGUAAACCUCGUUUGCUUUGGAUUAGGGUUAAGCAGAGCUGUUAUAAAAUAUGGUGGCUGCCGUGCAGAUUGACAGAUUCGGAGCAACCUUUCAGAAUUCCAUCUACUUGGUUUCUCUCGAAAGCAAACAAAACUAGCCCAGCUUCGGAGCAACCUUUCAGAAUUCCAUCUACUUGGUUUCUCUCUAAAGCAAACAAAACUAGCCAUCUUCUGUUCCCCGUCUAUUUACAUAAAUUAAUUUGAG
rnacentral:lncRNA from 1 species